rnacentral:tRNA from 1 species
CAAAAUAUAGCUUAAACAAAGCAUCCCGCUUACACCGAGAAAACGUCUGUGAAAACCGGACUAUUUUGA